AAGAAAUCAAAUAUUCUAUAAAAUGUAAAUACACUGAACUCAUUUGGAUAUAUUUAAGUGAGACUCUACAAUAUUAUUAGAUACAAAUCUAUCUAAAUCAAAAUUUUAAUCAUUUUUACUCCAAACAUUUACUGGACUGAUUUAAAUAUUAAAAUCACUCCUUUCUAAUCCUCUGCUGUACGUUCAAACCUGAGGCCUUAAAUAGAAACACACAAGUAUCUGAUUGAAGGAACUUCUGCAGAGUCCUGGUUCCAGAACAUGAUGAUAGAAUUAUAGACAAACUUUAACAAAAGCUGCCUGAGAGUUUACAGGUUUUUAUGUUAGAUUUCUUCAGUAAUUUAAUGAGUUAUCAGCAAUAAUCAAGUGUUCAUUUGAUGAACUUCAUUUCCUAAAACAUCCAGAAUUGGAGCUCAUAUCUUUGUCAGCUGUAAAGUUUCUGCUCCUUCAAAGUUCACAACACAAUGAAUGAAUUCCUAAAACACUCUCAAUGCUGGAGAGUGUUUGAUGCUGAAGCAAUGACCAGUUUUUCUGUUUCUUCUCUGGAGAUGCACAAUGAGGGACGUCUGCAGAGACUGAGAAAGAGUCUCACCACAUCCUGACAUGAGGAAAAAGAUUUUAUUGAAGACUACAAUGAGAAAAACUAUCAGACAGCAGACGGCUGCAUUCAAGUCUGUAGCUGCUGAAUUCAUGGAUGAAUCAUCUGGCACUAGAGAGGAAGACCAUCAAACAUCCACGUCAGCUGAUGGAGGUCCAAGAGUCUCACCAAACAAACAACCUACAGAGUGAAGACCUCAAAUCUGAUUGGACGGCCUCCUAUUCAGCCACAUUUUAGGCUGUUAGAUUGUUCCAGAUAAGACAAGUAAAAGAUACUUCAGAG
ensembl:lncRNA